rnacentral:rRNA from 1 species
CCUACGGGUGGCAGCAGUCGGGAAUAUUGGGCAAUGGGCGCAAGCCUGACCCAGCAACGCCGCGUGAAGGAUGAAGGUUUUCGGAUUGUAAACUUCUGUCGCGAGGGAAGAAGAAUGACGUUCCCUCGUAAGAAAGCCCCGGCUAACAAAGUCCAAGUAGCCGCGGUAAAACGUAGGGGGCAGCCGUUUUCCGGAAUGACUGGGCGAAAAGGGAGUGUAGGCGGAUUAUCAAGUUAGUUGUGAAAUCCCGCGGCUUAACCGCGGAACUGCAACUAAAACUGGUGAGCUGGAGUGCGGGAGAGGUGAGUGGAAUUCCUAGUGUAGCGGUGGAAUGCGUAGAUAUUAGGAGGAACACCAGAGGCGAAGGCGACUCACUGGACUGUAACUGACGCUGAGGCUCGAAAGCGUGGGGAGCAAACAGGAUUAGAUACCCCGGUAGUC